rnacentral:misc_RNA from 1 species
GAAAUGCGAUAGGUAGUGUGAAUUGCAGAAUUCAGCGAAUCAUCGAAUCUUUGAACGCACAUUGCGCCCCUUGGUAUUCCAUGGGGCAUGCCUGUUCGAGCGUCAUUUGUACCCUCAAGCUCUGCUUGGUGUUGGGUGUUUGUCCCCGUCUCCGCGCGUGGACUCGCCCCAAAGUGAUUGGCAGCCGGCGUACUGGUCCCGGAGCGCAGCACAUGUCGCGCAAACGAGUGCCUUGGUACGGCGGCGUCCAUAAGCCCCUCUCUCACGCUCUUGACCUCGGAUCAGGUAGGGAUACCCGCUGAACUUAAGC